UAUAUAUAUAAAGUAUACAUAUAUACUAAAU
rnacentral:piRNA from 1 species